rnacentral:lncRNA from 1 species
CAUGGUCAUGAUUAAACUCUACUAUCCUUUCUUUCUUAACUCUUCGCCUCUCUAACCUUAAACGAAAUCUUAAUCUUCCCGAGACCUUAACAUCUUCCUUCAGUCACUCAAAAGGUAUGUCCUUUAAUUGUUGUUCUUGAAGAGAUUAAGAAUGGAUAAACUUAAUUUGUGUUUGUUUUUUUUGUUUUGAUUUUUUGGGUUAUUUUUUGUCUGUUUUGAUUGCUAUUGUUAAUGACACAAAUCCUUAGAGAGAACCUCUCUCUCAAUCUCAUCGCACAAAGUCCUCAUCUGUGUUCAUCAUCCAUUGCUAUCCAUCAUUCUUCUUCACAACCGUUCUUGGUUAAUAACAAUCUCUCUCUCUCUCUCUCUCUCUCUCUCUCUCUCUCUCUCUCUCUCUCUCUCAUUGAAUUCCCAGAACAGAUUGAAACCGGAAUUGUAUCUCUUUCAUGCACUCCAUAGUGUUUUAUAUUGGGGGUUAAGUUUAAUCUGCACAACUCUAAUUCGCCCAAAAGUAAACGAAUUAUCUUCCAAAAUUAUUGUCAGUCUAUAUUAUUUCCAGGUAUUAUGUUUUAGAAUCAACAAAGUGAUCAUGCAACUAUAAAAUGCUUUUAUAUCAUCGUUAUUUUUGGUUUUCAAUUAUAAAAUUUAGAUUCCAUAAGAAUAUAUCUUACUUUGGUUGUGCUACAGGCUUGCAAUACCAUACAACUAUUGUACUGGGGAUUCGUCAAUUCAGAAGCUGUUUACCUUAUGCACCAAUUCUUAAUUGAAGAGCUAUUGUAUCAUCCAAAGGUAAUUCAAUUAUUCAUCGAAAGCCCUAUUUCAUCAUCAAUUUGUUGUUAAUCUAAUAAUUAAAUUUAGAUAGAAUUCACUCUCCAAGUCUUGAAGACUUGGACUGUUUGAAUUUACUUUUUCAAAAAGAUUAGGGGGUUAGAUAGACCCCAAUCUGUAUUCAUUAAACUCUCAAGUACAUUGUUUGGUUUACAUCCUCCUCAAUUACAUUUUGCAAUUCCAUGCUCAGAGGAGGAAUAAAAAACAUCACAUUGUUAUCAUCAUACUUACACGCCUUAGACAAAAGGUCUUCGGCUCUAUUACACUCUCUGUAGAUAUGGAAAAUAGAAACAUUAGUGUACUGCAUUGUCUUCUUAGUUUAUUUACAAAGUCAGCUGCUUGCAGUACCAGGGAGGUUUCUCUCCGUCAUUCAAGAUAUUUGUAGCUCUCAACGAGUCGGUUCCCAGUUGAAUACCACUAGAGCCUAGGGUAGUUCCAGCUUUCAACCCCAUCUCAAUGGCCUUCAGCUCUUGGGUUAGCACUGAUUUUGAAUUGUAGCUUCCUGUAAAUGCCAGCUUUACUCCACCAUAGUGAUCUCUGAAUAGACCACCAAAUCCACUACCUUCUUUUCUUACAGAACCAUCAGAAUAGUUCCUGAUAGUCUUGAUAAGAUAUCUUUAUUUUUGCAAACUGUUGCAGUAUUAUCUAUCCGCUCACUACCACAUAUGUCUACUAUUGCUGGAUGUGAAGAUGUAUAGGCAGGAAGAUCCUUUUCAAACACUCUCACUCUGACACUUUGAUGACAUCUGAAAAAAAGAGUGAGAGAUAUUUUGCUCUGCUCCUUUAACAAUGCAGUUAUGCCUAUUGCAAGCUUUCCCAGUUUCCAAAUAUACCAUGAAUAUGAUUUCCUUUAUGCUCGAACUCCCAAUGUAGGCUGUAAUCACAUUCCCGUCACUGUCUCUCAACAAACCUCUAUACCCUGCACCUGAAUCAGUGAACAGCCCCAUCAGAGUUAAGUUUGACAAUCCCUUGAGUUGAUGAGUACCAUUUUACAUGUCUUGAUGAGUUUCUUUUUGUACUUUGCCUCUCCAUCAAUACUUUAUUCUCAAUAGAGUCCUGCACCUCCUCGAAUUUGUUCUGAAUAUAGGCCUUUGUUUCUCUGAUAGUUUUAUCUCUUAAUACUUCAGCUGGUAUGAUCUUUUGCUGAAAUCGUCAUUGGUUCCUCUCCCUCCAAAUGUAAUAAACCUCUCUAAGGAUUCAUGAACUGAAUCUUAUACAGUUAUUCUCAAUAGAGUCCUGCCCCUCCACACUGUACUAGAAUACUGGCAUUCGAAGAAAAGAGAUUAAAAAUAUUACAAAGUGUAAGCAGAAUAGGCAACAUGGAAACAAUAAAAAUAAAUAACCACACAUAUAUAAUCAGUGAUGAUCCUUGCUAAGGAUCAAUCCAAAAGUGCUACUGCAUCCUUGCUAGAUCUCCACAUUGGUGCUUAAACAAUUAAACCUCAAAUAAUUAAUAUACGUCCUUUUCGUUCGAGAUCAUCCUACAUUGGUUAAUGUAUACCUCAUCAAAACACAAUUUUUUUCACAUGUCAGAUGUGAUCCAGAAUUGUUCUCAACACCAAACAGAUCAUUGUGCAGACAACGAGAUCAAAAAUAAUCUUGCUUAGAAAUAUGGUAUUUGAUAUGUGCAGACUCGACUGAAUUAGCUGUUGCGUCUAUAACUAUUAUAGCAUACAAAAUUCGUUUUGAUUAAUCAACAGACUCGACUAAAUUAGCUGUUGCAGACUCGACUGAAUUAGCUGUUGCGUCUAUAACUAUUAUACCAUAGAAAAGACACAAACGUGGUAGCUUUCUAAAAUAACCCUGGCUAAUGUAUGUAAAUGUGUUACCUUGACCUGUAAGUAACUUAUAUAUUUUUUUAAGAAAAAAAUAUCAAAUAAAAAUAAAAUUAUAAACUGACAAAAUAAAAUUUUUCUAUAGUUAUAAGGUCAGUAUGGAUAUCGAAGAUAAUGACUCAUCGGUCAUGAUGAUAGCUGCAUUUGAUGAGGCAAUUCGCAAUGUUUUGGAUAUUACACCCGAAGAAAUGAUUACUGCAAGUUCACAUGUAAGCAGUUGGAAAAUAUAUUCACUAUAUAUUGCAAAAUACAUUCUUAACUAACAAACUAAUAUAUCAAUGUGAUAAUGCAGGCAAAUGGAAACAAUAUCGUCAAACAGAUUUUUGAAGAAAUGGUUGGAAAGAAGACGAGUUUCUAUGUUCAAAUUAAUGGAUACAAUUGGUCAACAAAGGACACAUCUUCUAUGUCAGUAAUGAAAAUAGAAGAAAUACUAGAUUUAAGAAAAAAGGCCAAAGAACUACUCAAUGCCCACAAGGUAUGAAAAAUUAAAAUGAUAUUAUGUUUUCUAGAGAUAUAAUGUUUUCUUUAUUCAAAACUUUGUCGGCCCAAAUUUGUUGAUAGAUGCACAGUUCCAAUUUGUGCACAGUUCGUCUAACUCCAAUCUGUGCACAUUUCAGUCAAACAUUAUAAUUAAUGCACAACCAUACAUUAUAAUUAAUGUCGGACCAAAUGUUUGCUUUAAUCAGUGCACAGUUCCUUUUUCUGAAUUUUGCAAAAACAUUCUCUUGCUUUAUCAUUCUCUGCUUUAGUCAGACAGUCCAAUUUGUGUAGACUAGCUGAUCACUCUCCAUUUAUAAGAUGUGUUGAAUUAUGUUAAUGGAGUUGAUCCUUUUAAAAUAAUUCUGUUAAAGAAUUAUCUUCUUAUUAAUUGACUCUGUUUACUUAGAGGUUCCAAAUCUGCUGAGGUCUAUAUGUACUAUAUAUCUCUGUUCCUUCAAGUGGUACCGUGGUAUUAAAACAUGGUCAACUAACAGAAGACCCAAAAUAGUGGAACUGUGGUAUUGACCUGACAGUGAAUGUUUUCAGUCUUUCUCUUGUAAGCUUAUGCUUUGGGUUUAACCUGACCAGUGACCAUGCACAUCAUUUCUAUGUGUUUCUCUUUUGCUAUUCAUAUUAUCAUUUUCCACUGCUUUGAGGAGUAGGAUUAAUGUAAUUUUUCAUAUACACUAUGCCACACAGCACAACUGCACAAGAGAGUUCAUUAAGAAUGAAUUGAAGAGUCAUAACAUGUUCUGCAUAGACCGCAUCUUUCCGACUUGCAAGGAUUGAUUUUAGAGUAACAGUCUGCAGUAUUAGAAAUUACUUCAAUGCAUAGAUGGAAGUUGUUGACAUGCUUCAAUUUCAAGAAUUGUUCCUUUUAUAACAUUUCUGUGGUUAUUGGAUCUUGAUUUCCUUACACACGCAAACAUACUAACUUGCUUGUAUAAAGUAAGUUGUAUAUGUUCUGGUCUUUUUCCUGCAUCACAUAAGAGAAAUUCCAACUCUUUCUAGGGAAAUUCAGGGUUCGGUUUGACCAUAAUGAUUUAUUUAUUUUUCGCAAUUUUACUCCCAUUCAAAGGUUCUGCACAGGUCUUUCCUUCGUUCUUGCUGCCGCUGAAGUGAGCAUAAUUGUACUAAUAAAAGAAUGUGUGACACUCAAGCUGUUUACAUAGACACAUAGAGAGAACACUCGCCACUCUCACUAAUCAUCUGCACAACUUACUCGUGCAAUUACAAUUAAUUAAUCGAAACGAUACCAGUGUAUAUGUAGAUUUUCCCCUGACUAGCUAUUCAGUCAUCCUGUCUGCGGCCAUAUAUUAGUACUCAACAGGUCAGCCAUGGACACACAGGUUAGAUAAAGUAAAAAAGUAACUCUUUAGUAUUUCCAGAAUGCAGUAUAGCUCACUAUAAAGGUAGAAGUUUGGUACUUACCAACCAUUCUGCCUUUGAGUCGUGUCCUUCGUAUGACUAGGAUGGAUGUGUAUGACUAGGGGGGGUUAAGAACUACUCAAUGCCCACAAGGUAUAAAAAAUUAAAAUGAUAUUAUUUUAUUGCACUAACCAUACUUUUGUCCUGCUUCUUACCAUACUUUUGUCCUGCUUCUUCCCAUUCAUUUGUGUAGUGAGUGUAAAGGAUGAAAAUUCUUUUAUUUGGUAAAAUUCAAAAUACUAAACAUACUCAUUUUCAUCUACGUACAGGUGAUACUAGGACCACC